UUAUCUAUUACAAAGACAAAGGAUUGACUAUUAUCGCAACGUUAAGCAACUAAUCCAGUCAUAAAUUAGGAAGCUGUUAUCGAAUCAUUACUUAUCAGUGUAGUCUAGCAAUUUCAAAUUGAUAAACUAAAUUACUAAUUCAAAAGGGCUCAUAUUUCGAAUUUCUAAUUAGCUGUUCGUGAGAGGAGGAUAUUAAACGGUACAAUUAUGGUGUACACUAAUAUCGACGGGUCAAAAAUCAUGGGCCCUUAUCACGAAAUCAAGAAGGAUAAGGACAAACGUACAAUGAAUGGAUCCAAGAAACAAACUCAAAAUCAGCAAGAUAUAUAUACGAAAAAUGAUAAAAAGUACGGUGCUUGGGGACCAGUUUACAAAAACAAGGAAAAUUUCGUCAACAUGCAUAUUUGUUAAUCCUUUAUAAUCUAUAUAUAUAUAUAUACAUAUAUAUAAUAUGUAUACAUAUAAAUAUAUAUUUGAUUUUAAUUCAUUUUAUUGUAACAAAAUUAUUAAAAAUUCAAAACUUUUCUAUAUUCCUUAAAUAUACUUAUAAAUUAUACUUAUUGUUAGUAUAAUAUGUUUGUAUUGGAAUAAAUAACAUAAUAAUAUUUACAUUACAUAAAUUCUUUUAAUAAAUACGAAAAAUUAAAUUGA